AGGUCAAGUGAAGAAGGGCGCACGGUGAAUGCCUUGGCACUGGAAGCCGAUGAAGGACGCGACUAACCGCGAAAGUCUUCGGGGAGCCGUAAGUAGGCUUUGAUCCGGAGGUCUCCGAAUGGGGGAACCCAGCAUGUGCAGACAUGCUAUCCUUAAGUGAAUACAUAGCUUAAGGAGGGAACACGCAGUGAACUGAAACAUCUAAGUAGCUGCAGGAAGAGAAAGAAAUAUCGAUUUCCCAAGUAGCGGCGAGCGAACAGGAAAGAGCCCAAACCGGCAGAUUUAUCUGCCGGGGUUGUAGGACUGAGACAUGGCACUUCAGAGGAUAGCAGAAGCGUUUGGGAAAGCGCGCCAGAGAGGGUGAGAGCCCCGUAAGCGAAAUCCAAAGAAGGCCUAUCAGUAUCCUGAGUAGGGCGGGACACGUGAAAUCCCGUUUGAAUCCGCGAGGACCAUCUCGCAAGGCUAAAUACUAACCAGUGACCGAUAGUGAACCAGUACCGUGAGGGAAAGGUGAAAAGAACCCCGGGAGGGGAGUGAAAGAGAACCUGAAACCGUGUGCCUACAAGUAGUCAGAGCCCGUUAACGGGUAAUGGCGUGCCUUUUGUAGAAUGAACCGGCGAGUUGCGUUAGUCAGCAAGGUUAAGUCAGAAAAGACGGAGCCGUAGCGAAAGCGAGUCUGAAGAGGGCGAGCAGUUGGCUGACGCAGACCCGAAACCAAGUGACCUACCCAUGACCAGGUUGAAGGCGCGGUAAAACGCGCUGGAGGACCGAACCCACGUAAGUUGAAAAUUGCGGGGAUGAGUUGUGGGUAGCGGUGAAAUUCCAAACGAACUUGGAGAUAGCUGGUUCUCUCCGAAAUAGCUUUAGGGCUAGCCUCGCAAAGAGGAUGCUGGAGGUAGAGCUCUGUUUGGACUAGGGGCCCGUCAAGGGUUACUGAAUUCAGAUAAACUGCGAAUUCCAGACAUUUAUGUGCGGGAGUCAGACUGCGAGUGAUAAGAUCCGUAGUCGAAAGGGAAACAGCCCAGAUCACCAGUUAAGGUCCCAAAAUUCAUGCUAAGUGGAAAAGGAUGUGGAGUUGCGCAGACAACUAGGACGUUGGCUCAGAAGCAGCCAUCAUUCAAAGAGUGCGUAAUAGCUCACUAGUCGAGUGACGCCGCGCCGAAAAUUUACCGGGGCUAAGCAUGAUACCGAAACUGUGGAUGUGCAUUUAUGCACGUGGUAGGAGAGCGUUCUAGCGGCGGUGAAGCAUGACUGAGAAGACAUGUGGAGCUUCUAGAAGUGAGAAUGCCGGUAUGAGUAACGAAAGACAGGUGAGAAUCCUGUCCGCCGCAAGAC
rnacentral:rRNA from 1 species